rnacentral:sRNA from 1 species
UUAACUAAAGAUGCAGUAUUCUAGUUAAUUUUCUUAUUCUGAAAGCGGGCCUAAAAAUCCGUCAAAGGGCAUAUCGAUGAAGUUCCUGGUGUUGGCUGGCGACGCCCAGUUGCGGGCUGAUGCUGGGAGUUAAGACGUUAGGGCGAUCCACAAUGGCAUGUGGGCGUUGACCCUAUCGUCGUGGAGACCGACUAUUUGUGGGAAGAUCUUUUGGAAGAUGUCCUACGGUGUCGGAAUAAACCUGUCAUGCGGCGAAAGCUGUGGACAGUGUAGCCUGCCUUGCGUGAAGAGAUGGGGAUUAUGAUUUAGGCGUAGGGCUCUCGGCCAAGAGACUGAAGCUAUUGUCAUCUGAAACAUGUCUUUGCUAAAAAGGCUAGGAAUAUUGAAAGUUAGAAAGGAAAACUUCUAGGCUGUUGGCAACAAGUUUAUAGUGGAUUACGGUGGGGUUAAAGGCGAUCUAGCGUAUAGUUUGGCGACAAUUAUAAUGGGAUAUUAAAGGGAAACCGCUUUUUUUGGCGACAAAAGAGUUAGCUCAUGGGAAAACCUGCUAGACCAUAAGCCUCAAAAUUUACAUUAUGAACUAUCUUUAGUUAAUAAU